rfam:Bacillus halodurans C-125 DNA, complete genome.
AGCUCCUUUAAUGUUAGUCCAGUGAGGCUAAGAAGGAAUCACGAAAACGCCGCUCGUCGUUUUCAUGACUUUAGGUAACGUAUACCCUUCUGCCCUUUGGACAGAAGGGUUUUUAUA